GGCACUGUGGCGGAGUGGUUAACGCGACAGAUUCGAAUUCGCCACCUUGAUCUGUUCCAGUUUCUGGGCGCAUGUUCGAAUCAUGCCAGUGUCG